rnacentral:lncRNA from 1 species
GGGCAGUGGCAUAUAAUGAGUCAUUUAUUUGCUUAGUCUUGGUUUCCAAAAGGAACUGAAUGUUGAACAGUCCCCUCUACCUAAGGAAUAAUUGGGGGCUACCUUCAUCCAUACAUGGAUUUUGUAUUUCUAUGUGUAACUUGUCACCUAGCUUAAUACAGACAACAUGCGAAUAUGGAUUUUUAAUAUGGGAUUCAUGUCCUGGUCUCCAAUAUAUUGAUACCCAAUCCGGGUGCAAUUGUACUUUUUUGCCCAAUGUCAACCCAUAGACGGGUCACAUAACGACUCCCCCUUUUUGCUGAUUGAUUCUGGAAUUGUGUUGGUUAAGGUAUUUAUUCGUGGUUGAGCAAAAUGGUUUGGGAAUAAAAUGGCAUGGUAAUGAAAUCAUGAGUUAGGCAAGCCAAAUUAUAAUUGGUAGCACUAAUAGUGUUCAAAAACAGGGGACACGUGUAAGUUGUAACUUUCAAGUAUGCAAAAUACAGUUGCAGUUCUGCUGUAACUCCACAUACAAACAUAGCCAUCGAUUCUCCAAAAUUGAUCCCACAGCCUUCUCGUGCUCCUGUUAUUGCUAGUUAUCUCAAAUGCUGAAUUCUGUGUGGAAUUGAGCAACCAUCACACUAGAAUCUGGUUACCUGUGUAGGCUUCUGCCAUUGUAGUUGAUUACAAUCAUUCAGUAUGCUGGUGAGCCUGCUUUAGUAGUACCUUUAAUUGUGAUAUAUUGUUACCUUGUCCCGAUGUAAACGUGUGGAUAGAUGAUUGAGUUGCCCUUUCAUAGUGAAAUGGAAACUGGGGCAAUGGCCUAUAAUGAGCUAUUUAUUUGCUCAGCCUUGGUUUCCAAAAGAAACUGAAUGAUGAACAGUCCCCUCUACUUAAGGAAUAAUUGGGGGCUACCUUCAUCCAUACAUGGAUUGUGUAUUUCUACUGUAACUGUAACUUGUUACCUAGCUUAAUAUAGAUAACAUUCUAAUAUGGAUUUUUAACAUAGGAUUUAUGUCCUGGUCUCCAAUAUAUUGAUAACCAAUCCUGUGCAAUGGUACAUUUUUUUUUUUGCCAAAUGUCAACACAUAGAUAGAUCACCGCUUCAUUGAAAAAAGGAAACCGAGAGAGUGGCAUGUGAUGAGCUAUUUAUUUGCUUACUCUUUGUUUCCAAAAACAACAGGAUGAUGAACAGUCCCCUCUACUGUAGAAAGAACUGGGGGCUACCUUCAUCCAUACACCAAUCAGAUACUUCUAUGUAUAACUUGCCGACCCCUAGCUGAACACAGAACAUAUUAAAGUAUGCAUUUGUUUCCUUCACAUCAGAAUUGAUGUCCUGUUUCCCAGUCUAGUCAUAUACUGAUACCUGACUAGAAGUGCAUUUUUUAGUUGAUUAUUUUUUUUGGAAAAGACUAAAAAGUAGAGUAAGUCGGGUUGCUUGGAUCUUGUUGCCUUUCUUUAGCAACUGGAUUGGCUGGCAUAAUAUUGGUAGAAUGGUAGUGCAGUACUUGAAUACUUUCAAAUAGAUAAUAUACAAGCAAUCUGCAAUGCAUGAAUUCAAAACUAGGAAUUGUAUUUUACGC